ACCCUUGACCACGGUAUAGUCAGCGACUGGGGUGAAGUCGUAACAAGGUAGCCGUAGGGGAACCUGCGGCUGGAUUACCUCCUUUCUAAGGAUGAAUGAAAGUAAAAUUUCAUUCUAAAUAAUAUACAUCGGUAAUGUUGACCGUCCUCAUUUCUCUUCUUAAAGUAAUGUUUCCUUCUUGUAGGGCCGGUAGCUCAGUUGGUUAGAGCACACCCUUGAUAAGGGUGGGGUCGAAAGUUCGAGUCUUUCUCAGCCCACCAUACUUAACUGGGGGAUUAGCUCAGCUGGGAGAGCGCCUGAUUUGCAUUCAGGAGGUCAGCGGUUCGAUCCCGCUAUCCUCCACCAGGAAACAUUUAGUUAUAAAAACUGUAAAUAAAUUAAUAAUUAAUAUCAAUAUCUAUAUCCGAACAUUAGUAAUGUUAUUAGCUAAUGUUCAAAAUAAAAAUUUGAUCACAACAUAGAUUAAUUUUCUUUUAAAAGAAUUUUUUUCUGUGCAUAAAUCAAGCGUUUAAGGGCGUGUAGUGGAUGCCUUGGCACUGAAAGCCGAUGAAGGACGUGAUAUACUGCGAUAAGUUUCGGGGAGCUGUAUGUAAGUUUUGAUCCGAAAAU
rnacentral:misc_RNA from 1 species